rnacentral:rRNA from 1 species
GAUGAACGCUGGCGGCGUGCCUAAUACAUGCAAGUCGAGCGAACGGACGAGAAGCUUGCUUCUCUGAUGUUAGCGGCGGACGGGUGAGUAACACGUGGAUAACCUACCUAUAAGACUGGGAUAACUUCGGGAAACCGGAGCUAAUACCGGAUGAUAUUUUGAACCGCAUGGUUCAAAAGUGAAAGACGGUCUUGCUGUCACUUAUAGAUGGAUCCGCGCUGCAUUAGCUAGUUGGUAAGGUAACGGCUUACCAAGGCAACGAUGCAUAGCCGAGCUGAGAGGGUGAUCGGCCACACUGGAGCUGGGACACGGUCCAUACGCCUACGGGAGGCAGCAGUAGGGAAUCUUCCGCAAUGGGCGAAAGCAUGACGGAGCAACGCCGCGUGAGUGAUGAAGGUCUUCGGAUCGUAAAACUCUGUUAUUAGGGAAGAACAUAUGUGUAAGUAACUGUGCACAUCUUGACGGUACCUAAUCAGAAAGCCACGGCUAACUACGUG